GACGAACGCUGGCGGCGUGCUUAACACAUGCAAGUCGAACGGAAAGGCCCUGCUUUUGUGGGGUGCUCGAGUGGCGAACGGGUGAGUAACACGUGAGUAACCUGCCCUUGACUUUGGGAUAACUUCAGGAAACUGGGGCUAAUACCGGAUAUGAGCUCCUGCUGCAUGGUGGGGGUUGGAAAGGUUCGGCGGUUGGGGCUGGACUCGCGGCUUAUCAGCUUGUUGGUGGGGUAGUGGCUUACCAAGGCUUUGACGGGUAGCCGGCCUGAGAGGGUGACCGGCCACAUUGGGACUGAGAUACGGCCCAGACUCCUACGGGAGGCAGCAGUGGGGAAUAUUGCACAAUGGGCGGACGCCGGAUGCAGCAACGCCGCGUGCGGGAUGACGGCCUUCGGGUUGUAAACCGCUUUAGCCUGUGACGAAGCGUGAGUGACGGUAAUGGGUAAAGAAGCACCGGCUAACUACGUG
rnacentral:rRNA from 1 species